GACGAACGCUGGCGGCGUGCUUAACACAUGCAAGUCGAACGCUGAAGACCUGGCUUUUGUUGGGUUGGAUGAGUGGCGAACGGGUGAGUAACACGUGAGUAACCUGCCCUCUUCUUUGGGAUAACGCCCGGAAACGGGUGCUAAUACUGGAUAUUCACUGAUCUUCGCAUGGGGGUUGGUGGAAAGGUUUGUUCUGGUGGGGGAUGGGCUCGCGGCCUAUCAGCUUGGUGGUGGGGUGAUGGCCUACCAAGGCUUUGACGGGUAGCCGGCCUGAGAGGGUGACCGGUCACAUUGGGACUGAGAUACGGCCCAGACGCCUACGGGAGGCAGCAGUGGGGAAUAUUGCACAAUGGGCGAAAGCCUGAUGCAGCGACGCCGCGUGAGGGAUGGAGGCCUUCGGGUUGUAAACCUCUUUCGCUCAUGGUCAAGCCGCAACUGUGGGUUGUGGUGAGGGUAGUGGGUAAAGAAGCGCCGGCUAACUACGUG
rnacentral:rRNA from 1 species